UGGGGCGUGGUGUAACCGGUAACACACGAGACUUUGGAUCUCGGAUUGCAGGUUCGAGCCCUGCCGCCCCAG
rnacentral:tRNA from 1 species